CUUGAGACUAGAGUCAUGCUUAGGUAUUGUCUGUUGCCUUGGUAUGCUAUAGUCCUCAAAGAGUAACUGCUGACUGUAUUCACAGAUGUGGUCCUAAUGAUAUAGUAAGUCACCUGGCUAGUGACAUGC